AAGCGGUUAGGUGUCAUCUCUCUCUGUCUUAUCCCAUCUUCUCCGAUUUUUUGUUCUUACACCAUUCAACCAUUCCUCCUUCCUCCUUCUUACAAUUUUGACUCUUCCGUUUCACCUUCGUCCUCAUCCUCCCCUCUCUUCCCUUUCACUUUCUUCACUUUUCCGCCUUCAUCGCCUCUUGUUUUGUUGCCGCCCUUCCUUCUCCGUUUCAACAAUCAAAUUAGGGUUUUUAUUCGCUGAUUUAUCACCAUCGCGACACUAUGGUUAUGAUUCGUACUUGUAGGUUCGACCUCACGGCAUAAAAAGGUGCCUCUCGGGAUUUGAGCUUCCUAAAGCGUGGUAUGCUGUGCUUUCUUUUUUCCAAUUACAAUUUUCAAUAUUCCUUGUUGUUCAUGCUCAAAUUUCGAAGUGGUGUAGGAGUCCAAGAAUCCGGUAUUUCAGUAGGAUGAAAGGCUUUAGAGAUUGGGUUUUCUCUCAGAUACUGUCCAAAUCAUUGGUCUCAUCGACACCGAUAUCCGUCACAAGCAGUUUCUAUGAUGAAGGGAAUCGGGAUGAAGAAGAUAAUGAACAAGGCCACUCAUCUAGCUCCGUAGCAUCACCAACUUCUUCUGCAUCAGACCUUUCUUAUGAUAGUCAGAGCAAUCAGCGUAUUUCUACCUUGCCGCAAGUUUCAGAUACAGAAGUUUUUCAAUCUGAAGAUAAUGUCAACGGAAGACAGAAGGAUAAUUUGGCAAAGGUUGAACAUCUCCAAAUUAAGUUCUUCCGUCUACUCCAGCGCCUUGGCCAAUCACAAGAAAACCUCAUGGUCCCAAAGGUCCUUUACCGGAUUCACUUGGCAACUUUAAUUCGUGCAGGGGAACCAGAUCUGAAAAGAGUUAACAUUAGUAGUCGUAGAGCCCGAGCAAUAGCAAUUCAACAGGAGGAAAAUGGUACACCCCAAUUGGAUUUCUCUUGCAGAAUACUUGUUGUAGGUAAAACAGGAGUUGGUAAAAGUGCUACUAUAAAUUCUAUAUUUGGUCAAGCAAAAACCACCACUGAUGCUUUCCGACCUGCUACCAAUUGCAUCCAAGAAGUUGUGGGAACUGUCAAUGGUCUUAACCUAACAUUUAUUGAUACCCCUGGUUUCCUGCCUUCCUCUACGAGUAAUGUGAAGAGAAAUAAGAGGAUCAUGCUUUCUAUUAAGAGAUUCAUAAGAAAGUCCCCUCCAGACAUUGUUUUGUACUUUGAGCGACUUGAUUUGAUGAAUUCUGCCAAUAGUGACUUGCCGCUUUUGAAGCUUAUGACUGAAGUAUUUGGUACAGAAAUCUGGUUUAACACCAUCGUAGUCAUGACUCAUUCUUCCUCACCUAUUCCUGAAGGACCUAAUGGGUAUGCUGUUAAUUAUGAGUCAUAUACUUCUCAAUGUACCAAUUUAAUGCAGCACUAUAUACAUCAGGCAGUGUGCGAUUCAAGGCUAGAAAACCCAGUACUUUUGGUUGAAAACCAUCCUCAUUGCCCCAAAAAUAUUGUGGGGGAAAGAGUUCUACCUAAUGGACUGGUUUGGAGAUCUCAGCUCUUGUUAUUUUGCAUUUGUACCAAAGUUUUGGGUGAUGUCAAUUCCAUCCUGAAGUUUCAGAACAGUGUAGAACUGGGACCUGCAAGUAGUGCCCGAGUUCCUUCACUACCCCAUCUCCUUUCAACUCUUUUGCACCAACGUCCUGUAUCCGAUCCAAGUGGAAUUGAUGAUGAAGUUGAGGAAAUAUUACUCUCAGACAUGGAAGAAGAAGAUGAGUAUGAUACACUUCCAUCAAUUCGGAUAUUGACAAAGUCACAGUUUGAAAAGUUAUCCAAGUCCCAGAAAAAAGAUUAUCUGGAUGAGAUGGAUUACCGGGAGACUCUUUACUUAAAGAAACAGUUGAAAGAAGACUACCGUAGGCGUAAAGAGAAGUUACUCCUGAAUGAGCAACAACUUUUGAAUAGUGAUAAUUCUGAUGAUCAGCAAGCUCCUACAGAGCCUGUUCUGUUACCAGACAUGGCUGUUCCUCCAAGUUUUGACUCAGAUUGCCCUACACAUAGGUAUCGUUGCUUUGUUGCUGAUGACCAGUGGCUUGUGAGACCUGUUCUUGAUCCACAAGGAUGGGAUCAUGAUGUGGGGUUCGAUGGUAUAAACUUGGAGACAACCACAGAAAUAAAGAAGAAUGUUUAUGCCAUGAUUGUGGGACAGAUGAAUAAGGAUAAGCAUGACUUUGGUAUUCAGUCUGAGUGUUCUGCUGCUUAUGUUGAUCCCAUAGGUCCUACUUAUUCUGCGAGUCUUGAUGUUCAGUCGGCAGGCAAAGAUCUGAUCUGUACGGUUCGUAGCAACACAAAAUUGAGAAUCGUAAAGCACAAUAUUACUGACUGUGGUGUUUCUUUGAUGUCCUUUGCAAAGAAGUAUUAUGUGGGUGCAAAGCUUCAGGAUACUUUGUUAGUUGGGAAUAUAUUAAAAUUUGUCAUGAGUGCAGGCUUAAUGGAGGGUUCUCGCCAGGUGGCGUAUGGUGGGAGUUUUGAAGCUGCCAUUCGAGGGGGAGAUUAUCCUGUAAGAAAUGACAAUUUAAGUCUAACGGCAACUGUCCUUUCCUUUAACAAAGAGACUGUAUUGAGUGGAAGUUUACAAGCUGACUUGAGGCUGAGUAGAAGCACGAGAGCAACUGUUAGUGCUAAUUUAAAUAGUCGCGGAAUGGGGAAAAUAUGCAUUAAGACAAGUAGCUCUGAGAAUUUACAAAUUGCUUUGGUUGCUGUUUUCUCAGUUCUGAAGGCCCUAUCACGUAGAAGGGGAGCUAACUACACGGGGAAGGAUGUGAGAGACUAGUUUCUGUUUGUUUAUUGGUACCCUCUUCUUGUGUUCAUGGAAGAAGUAGAGGUGUUGAAGCUGUCCACAUGCCAAAUAUCACGUAGAAGACAGAAGACAGUUGGUUAGAAUCGGAUGUUUUUGAAGAGUUUAGCUGGAGUUUUCUUUUUGUUGAUACUUGAGGUGCAUAUUGCCUGUUUUUGGAAGUCUCUUAUAGAUUACCUACCAAAAAAACCUCCACAAGCAGUCAUAGAAAAGAUUCAAAUUCAGGUCCUUUCAGAAUGUGUUGUCAUCUUUUGUUACCUGUACUAAUUCUCCUUAACUACUUGGAUCGUUUUACGCAAUAGAAUCGCACAGAGGAUACUACGACACAGUACAGACUACAGAGGGUUUCGUGAUAUAUAGGGUGUGUUUGGAUUUACGUUGGAGAAGAGAAAAGCU